rnacentral:tRNA from 1 species
ACUAAUUUGGCAGAUAAGUGCUUUGAAGUUAGAUUUCAAAUAUGUAAUAAUGUUAUUACAAUUAGUG